AAUAGAUGCAAUACUGAUCCAUCUCAAAUUGUUUGAAGAUAGGAUAAGUCGUAUAAGUUUAAAUCCUCAGAGGUUUCAUGGUGUCUGUCUCUUUAGUGUUUGAAGUCUUAGAAACCUUUUUUGGUCUUUCUAUUACUUCCAUUCUUUCGGGCCGUAGAAAAGAUCGCAUAUUUACACGUUGAUUCUCUUGACGAUAAUUUUGAAAAUUCAGAUGAGAUAUCCAUCGCGACGGUGUAAAAUACUUCUCACGAAGAUAUGACACCAUUUCAGGGCUUUUAUUCGUAAAAUAUAUCCAUUUUCGUUUUUUUUCCUUAUAGAUUAUGUUUUCGUUAACUAAUCUUUCUUCAAUUCUUUUGGCAUCAGCAUAGCUGCAAUCUUAGAUAAUGUUAGUAUAUGGUCAAUGAGUUGGUAAAUUUCCUUACUCAGUCGCGCCGCUAGCUUUUGGAACCCUUGAUACUCUGACGCCCAAAUACACCGAAUUGCUCGUCUGUAUGCGACCAACAUGGUCAUUCGGUCAUACAAACUAGAUUCAGAAUCAACUAACAAACAUGUAUAACAUAACAAUUGGUUUGGUUGGCGAGGAUCAGAGUCACUCUCAAAUCCAUAGCAAGCACAGUGAACCCAUCCAUCACAUCUUUCGCAUUGAAACUGUGUAAAAUAUUGUUAGUCUUUAGCAGGUAUAAACGAUUACACACCAUUUCUGAGUCUUCCGUCGAAUCACCGCAUUCACAAUUCAAAAGUGCUUUUUUCUUUUCGGCUUUGUCAACUUUGUCACUCCCUGAAAUGUUUUUUUUUAACCAAUUGCUUUUCUUUACUUCUUCACAAGGAUUGUUAUUUUUUAUUUCCCUUAAUCCACGACUUUCAUUCUGCAUUUUCUCACAUUUUCCUUGACUCAAACUUUUUUCAACUGAUUGUUCAUCCAAUAUUUGAGUUGAGCCUAUUUCAUCGUAUUUCAAAGGCUGGAGGAACUUUUCGAGCUGAGAAUCAAUUUUUUCUUGAGAAUCAAAUAAUGAUGAUUCUUUAUUAAUCAUGAUCUUCUCUGUACUUAUCGGUACAAAUGCAUGAGAACAAUGUGAAAUCGCAAUACUAUAGAUUAGUAACUUGAAAUUUGUUUUAAUUUACUUACCCAUUGUUUGAUUCAUAAAAAGAUACAAUAUCUUUGAAUUCUCCUCGAUUGAGCCAAGACAUGCAAUCUUUUGUUUCUACGGUAUUUAAAAACACGCCAGCUUUAGUUGCUUCUCCUUUUGAUAAUUGAAAGCGUUCCAUUUUUGUAAUAAUUUGUACGACUUUUUCUUCGUCUUUGCACUCUGUUUUUACGUUACCACUUAAAAAUAACUUUAUUACAAACCUUUCUGAACGUUGAUAAGCUUGAUAAAACUCUCAUGAAGUCUGUUAAAAAAUUUACAAACAAAAGACUCACAACAUAUUUUCUCUUCACUUCCAGGGUUAAUUGUAAAUGAAAAUAUCUCCUUUUCAACCGCGUCAUCCUCUAAUAUUGACUUGCAUUGUGACGAAAUAAUCAGGUAAACAGUAAAUGGAACUUUCAUUGAUACAAGUGAGAAAAUAUAAGUUUUCUAAAAUAUUAGUUUAUUUCUUUAGAUAAGUUUUAAACACUCACCAUCAUUUCCAAAAAACUGUCUGCUUCUUUGUCCACUCCAGCUUGUAAAGAAACCACAGUAGGUUUCAAUUGACAAUCAAAGUCAGCUCCUUUAAAAUGUUCAAUUUCGAAAUUGACUUUCUUGUAGCAGUUUUCAUUGAAAAGAGCACUUGCCUUCUGUUAGCUAUUUUAAUUUAAAAAUUAUAUGUCUGCGUACCGCUU